rnacentral:pre_miRNA from 10 species
AGUGAAAUUGCUAGGUCAUAUGGUCAGUCUACUUUUAGAGUAAUUGUGAAACUGUUUUUCAAAGUAGCUGUACCAUUUGCACUCCCUGUGGCAAU